rnacentral:lncRNA from 1 species
GUCUGAUAUUAGACUGGAGCAAUUUUAAAGAAUCCCUUAGUAUAGGAAUGGAACUGGCAGAAAAGUUAGAGCAGAAAGCUAGAAACCUACUAUUCCAACUACAUAUCAAGAGAAUUGAAAUAUUAGAUGCACGGAACAUCAAAUAAUAUUGUGUAAAACCAAAGUGUACAGGUAUAUGAACAAUUAUACUGUGUAUUAAUAUUCAAUAUUCAGUGGUUAGUGAAGAAGCAAAAACGG